rnacentral:rRNA from 1 species
UACGUAGGGCGCAAGCGUUGUCCGGAAUUAUUGGGCGUAAAGAGCUCGUAGGCGGCUUGUCACGUCGGGUGUGAAAGCCCGGGGCUUAACCCCGGGUCUGCAUUCGAUACGGGCAGGCUAGAGUGUGGUAGGGGAGAUCGGAAUUCCUGGUGUAGCGGUGAAAUGCGCAGAUAUCAGGAGGAACACCGGUGGCGAAGGCGGAUCUCUGGGCCAUAACUGACGCUGAGGAGCGAAAGCAUGGGGAGCGAACAGG